ensembl:misc_RNA Metazoa_SRP Metazoan signal recognition particle RNA
GCCGGGCGUGGUGGCACACACUUGUAAUCCCAGCUACUCAGGAGGCUGAGGCAGGAGAAUUGCUUGAGCCCGGGAAGCGGAGGUUGCAGUGAGCCGAGAUUGUGCCACUGGCCAAUCUCCAGCCUGGCCAACAGAGCGAGACCCUGUCUCAG